rnacentral:rRNA from 1 species
UACGUAGGUGACAAGCGUUGUCCGGAUUUACUGGGCGUAAAGGGCGCGUAGGCGGCCGCCUAAGUCAGACGUGAAAUCCCUCGGCUCAACCGGGGAACUGCGUCUGAUACUGGGUGGCUUGAAUCCGGGAGAGGGAUGCGGAAUUCCAGGUGUAGCGGUGAAAUGCGUAGAUAUCUGGAGGAACACCGGUGGCGAAGGCGGCAUCCUGGACCGGCAUUGACGCUGAGGCGCGAAAGCCAGGGGAGCAAACGGG